rnacentral:rRNA from 1 species
CCUACGGGCGGCAGCAGUGAGGAAUAUUGGUCAAUGGACGAGAGUCUGAACCAGCCAAGUAGCGUGAAGGAUGACUGCCCUAUGGGUUGUAAACUUCUUUUAUAUGGGAAUAAACUGUGCCACGUGUGGGCUUUUGUAUGUACCAUAUGAAUAAGGAUCGGCUAACUCCGUGCCAGCAGCCGCGGUAAUACGGAGGAUCCGAGCGUUAUCCGGAUUUAUUGGGUUUAAAGGGAGCGUAGGUGGAUUGUUAAGUCAGUUGUGAAAGUUUGCGGCUCAACCGUAAAAUUGCAGUUGAAACUGGCAGUCUUGAGUACAGUAGAGGUGGGCGGAAUUCGUGGUGUAGCGGUGAAAUGCUUAGAUAUCACGAAGAACUCCGAUUGCGAAGGCAGCUCACUGGACUGCAACUGACACUGAGGCUCGAAAGUGUGGGUAUCAAACAGGAUUAGAUACCCUUGUAGUC